AAAAAAAGAAAAGAAAAACGGUAGCAGCAGAGAAGAAGAAGGAAAGAAAAAGAAAAGAAAAAGGAUGAAAGAUGAAAUACCAUCCCAAUUACUUCGGCUGACCACAGUUUGCCUUGGAAAUAUCGAUAUUGGGUGAAGGUUAGUUCUCCACCUUUUGUGUGUUGAUUACUCUUUGUUUUUGCAAGUUAGCAAUUUAGAAGAAGUAGCUAUAUCAUCAAAGCUAAUUAAAUGUGAUAAAUGAAAAGUGGUUUCUUUGGCUAAAGGCUACAGCCUACAAUCUUUCUUCUUCCCUCCCUUUUUCACUUAGAUCCUGCCUUUUCAUGGCUAGUCUUUCCAAUCAGCUAUGGUUUAUGAGAAUCUCUUUCAACAUCUUAUCUGGUACUUUUUCUCUCCAUGAGAUCUUGGUAUAUAUACAUUGAUCGAUGGCUUCGACAUUCAUUGGUGUAGCCCCUUGGGUGGGCUAUGAAAUUCUUAUCCAUUCCAACCUCUACUCUUUUUUGCUCACUUGCAGAGCCAAGUUAUCUAUCAUCACUCAAUUUCGUUUUAAAUGCUAAUUUAGCAUUUCUUCUAGAAAUGUGUAUCUGAUUGAAAAUACUUUUCUAAGCAUAUUCUAUCAGAUUUCUAGAGAGGAGAAUUUGUGGGGUGACAUUAAGCUGGUGCACAUUAUAAAAUGUAGAUGAAAUCAACAUGAUAAUAAAGCUUGUUUCUUUUCUCUUUCUUAUCAAAAAAAAUUAUAGUAAUAAUAAUAAUAACAAUGCAACAUUUUUCUUGAAUGUCUAGAAUGUUAUUUGGUGUCUCCAUGUAAAUGUAGAAUAUGGUAAGUCAAAUCAUUGUCAAUAUUUUAUAUAUAGGAUGUCAGUUUUUACUCGACAUACUAGCUUUUGGCCAUUUUUCUACAUGGUCUCUGCUCACAAUCUUUUGAUAUGAGCCAUCCAACUAGAUUAUAAUGUUGUAUCAUUGAUUUUUUUAUAGAUACUUGUAGAAAAAUGAUCUAGUUUGAAGGUUUUUUUUUCAUAAGUUAUUCCA